GUUGUCCGGAUUUAUUGGGCGUAAAGCGAGCGCAGGCGGUUUGAUAAGUCUGAAGUUAAAGGCUGUGGCUCAACCAUAGUUCGCUUUGGAAACUGUCAAACUUGAGUGCAGAAGGGGAGAGUGGAAUUCCAUGUGUAGCGGUGAAAUGCGUAGAUAUAUGGAGGAACACCGGUGGCGAAAGCGGCUCUCUGGUCUGUAACUGACGCUGAGGCUCGAAAGCGUGGGGAGCGAACAGGAUUAGAUACCCUGGUAGUCCACGCCGUAAACGAUGAGUGCUAGGUGUUAGACCCUUUCCGGGGUUUAGUGCCGUAGCUAACGCAUUAAGCACUCCGCCUGGGGAGUACGACCGCAAGGUUGAAACUCAAAGGAAUUGACGGGGGCCCGCACAAGCGGUGGAGCAUGUGGUUUAAUUCGAAGCAACGCGAAGAACCUUACCAGGUCUUGACAUCCCUCUGACCGCUCUAGAGAUAGAGUUUUCCUUCGGGACAGAGGUGACAGGUGGUGCAUGGUUGUCGUCAGCUCGUGUCGUGA
rnacentral:rRNA from 1 species